rnacentral:rRNA from 1 species
AUCUAUGGCCAUGCCACCCUGAACAUGCCUGAUCUCGUCUGAUCUCGGAAGCUAAGCAGGGUCGGGCCUGGUUAGUUCUUGGAUGGGAGACCACCUAGGAAUACCAGGUGCUGUAGGCA